UCUUUCGCCUUUUACUAAAGAAUACCGUGUAUUUGUCACUAUAAGCGGCAUACGCCAGUUUUUGGGAAGGGUCUUCUUAGGAGGGCCC
rnacentral:snRNA from 1 species